GAAACGACUGCUAAGACUGGAUAGGAGACAAGAAGGCAUCUUCUUGUUUUUAAAAGACCUAGCAAUAGGUAUGCUUAGGGAGGAGCUUGCGUCACAUUAGUUAGUUGGUGGGGUAAAGGCCUACCAAGACUAUGAUGUGUAGCCGGGCUGAGAGGUUGAACGGCCACAUUGGGACUGAGACACGGCCCAAACUCCUACGGGAGGCAGCAGUAGGGAAUUUUCGGCAAUGGAGGAAACUCUGACCGAGCAACGCCGCGUGAACGAUGAAGUAUUUCGGUACGUAAAGUUCUUUUAUUAGGGAAGAAUAAAUGAUGGAAAAAUCAUUCUGACGGUACCUAAUGAAUAAGCCCCGGCUAACUAUGUGCCAGCAGCCGCGGUAAUACAUAGGGGGCAAGCGUUAUCCGGAAUUAUUGGGCGUAAAGGGUGCGUAGGCGGUUAAAUAAGUUUAUGGUCUAAGUGCAAUGCUCAACAUUGUGAUGCUAUAAAAACUAUUUAACUAGAGUAAGAUAGAGGCAAGUGGAAUUCCAUGUGUAGUGGUAAAAUGCGUAAAUAUAUGGAGGAACACCAGUAGCGAAGGCGGCUUGCUGGGUCUUUACUGACGCUGAGGCACGAAAGCGUGGGGAGCAAACAGGAUUAGAUACCCUGGUAGUCCACGCCGUAAACGAUGAGUACUAAACGUUGGGUAAAACCAGUGUUGAAGUUAACACAUUAAGUACUCCGCCUGAGUAGUACGUACGCAAGUAUGAAACUUAAAGGAAUUGACGGGACUCCGCACAAGCGGUGGAUCAUGUUGUUUAAUUCGAAGGUACCCGAAAAACCUCACCAGGUCUUGACAUGCUUCUGCAAAGCUGUAGAAACACAGUGGAGGUUAUCAGUUGCACAGGUGGUGCAUGGUUGUCGUCAGCUCGUGUCGUGAGAUGUUGGGUUAAGUCCCGCAACGAGCGCAACCCUUAUUGUUAGUUACCAGCACGUAAUGGUGGGGACUUUAGCAAGACUGCCAGUGAUAAAUUGGAGGAAGGUGGGGACGACGUCAAAUCAUCAUGCCCCUUAUGACCUGGGCUACAAACGUGAUACAAUGGCUGUUACAAAGGGUAGCUAAAGCGUAAGUUUUUUGCGAAUCUCAAAAAAACAGUCUCAGUUCGGAUUGAAGUCUGCAACUCGACUUCAUGAAGUUGGAAUCGCUAGUAAUCGCGAAUCAGCAUGUCGCGGUGAAUACGUUCUCGGGGUUUGUACACACCGCCCGUCA
rnacentral:rRNA from 1 species